AGGAACACAAGCAUUUAGCUGCACCCGCAAUAACAUCUGCUAAAUAUGUGGGUCCUAACAUUCCAAAUCAAAGAGCUCAAUUAUCCUUGGGUUGUGUAUUGCAGGCUGCGUAGUCGGCCGUCUCUCCCACACAGUUCCUGCCUCCAUGCCGGGGGGCGGGGUUAGAACACUCCCGCUGACGAAUCAUCAGCCCACUGCCACACGACACACUGCAUGGGUGUAGCGUCACAGGGAUGUGUCUCUGUAGUGUUGCCACGGCAGCCGCUGCCCCCGCGCUGAGCGAGGGGGAAGUUGCAGAGUCGAACACGCACAACGAGACCUGAACCACACGACACAGAACAUGCAGACCACGGAGACCACAGGCCCCAGCCGCUGUUCCCAUGGACUACACACACACACACACACACACACACACACACACAUUUUUAUAAAAGGGAAAUGAUUGCUCAAACCCAACACUCAAACCUGAGCGUUCCAUUCUACCACCUCUGGUCUCUUGGCCCUCCCACCCAUAUGAGGGUCAGCUCUCCCCCCCAGACCAGUCAAAGAUCUUCUCUGUCCUGACACCUCAACGGUGGAAUGAGCUUCAGCCUAACGUCAGAGUCCCAACCCCACCUUCCUAGCAUGUCUGAAACCGUACAUCUUCAAAGAGUAUCGGUGCACCUGCGGGUUUGGAGGGAGGAGUCAGAACAGGACGUGGAGACAUCAUCACAAGAUCGCCCUCUCCGCUGGAAACCACGCCCACAGCUCUCUGAAGGUCGUGCAGCAGACUAGUGGUAACGAUGUGGAGGCCAUGCAGCUCUGAUAACAGAUCAUUCAGCUCCUCACAGGACCGACGACACAUCACCUCAGGAUGCUCCACCCCUACACACACACAGAAUCAGAGCUAACCCAAACCAGAUCCACAAGUCUUCUGCUGUCUUUAUGUCUUACAGCUCUCUGAAGGUCGUGCAGCAGUUGUUUUGAUAAAGGUGUUAUGGAUAGUGAAGGUGACCUCCCUCUUACCUAUCAGGGUUAUGGAUAGUGAAGGUGACCUCCCUCUUACCUAUCAGGGUUAUGGAUAGUGAAGGUGACCUCCCUCUUACCUAUCAGGGUUAUGGAUAGUGAAGGUGACCUCCCUCUUACCUAUCAGGGUUAUGGAUAGUGAAGGUGACCUCCCUCUUACCUAUCAGGGUUAUGGAUAGUGAAGGUGACCUCCCUCUUACCUAUCAGGGUUAUGGAUAGUGAAGGUGACCUCCCUCUUACCUAUCAGCGUGUCUGUGCUCCUCCCUCUUACCUAUCAGCGUGUCUGUGCUCCUCCCUCUUACCUAUCAGCGUGUCUGUGCUCCUCCCUCUUACCUAUCAGCGUGUCUGUGCUCCUCCCUCUUACCUAUCAGGGUUAUGGAUAGUGAAGGUGACCUCCCUCUUACCUAUCAGGGUUAUGGAUAGUGAAGGUGACCCCCCUCUUACCUAUCAGGGUUAUGGAUAGUGAAGGUGACCUCCCUCUUACCUAUCAGCGUGUCUGUGCUCCUCCCUCUUACCUAUCAGCGUGUCUGUGCUCCUCCCUCUUACCUAUCAGCGUGUCUGUGCUCCUC